CUCAUCCAUUGCUCCUAGUGAGGAAACUGUUUCCCAGUGCCUAUAAGGUAACUGCUAAAGGCCUGGAGGACUGGGAUUUGCUAGUAGCAGUUGACUAAUUGCAGAGCUGCAUGCAGUGAGUGUGUUGAGGACAAUGCCCUGUCCAUGGAGGAAGGGAAGAAGCAUGUGAAACACUGCUAGCCAUUUCUUGUGGGGCCUCCUAAAGGUACCUUGAGAGAGACCUCAUCUCCUGGAAAACCUCCAAGUCCUGCAUCUCUGCAGGGAACUGUGAAAAUCUCCGCCAAGAAGUUCUUCACCUUGACACGUGCAGCAAAGGCGUGCAAGCGAAGCCCUCCCUGAUGGAUGUCUAAGAGAGCAUCGCUGAGACAGGCCUGAUUUGUGUUGCAACACUUCUCUCCGCUAAGGCAGAGCCGUGAGGAGCAGGGUCACUAGCCUGAAACUCAGCUUCGCAGUAACCAGUAGCUGAAGCACAGCACACACGUGGACUGGGAGCAGCAAUAAGCUGCUGAAAACCACUGCAGUCACCCAAGGGUACCUCUGGUCCUCCUGGACCACACAAGGCCAGACUGUGCUACCUGGGUGUUCCUCCAGGUCGCAGCCACCAACAUGCAUGGCCAUGACCCACCCCUAUGCUAUGUGUCUCCAGCCCCCUGUGCCAGCUACUGGGCUGUCCGCCCUGAUUCUGCACUCACAGAGCAUAAUUUAUUUUGAUUAUAAGCCUAAUUCAGUGAUUUUGUUGUAUUUGGAGAUGGAGGGGUUAGGCUAAACAGCUACUUGUCAGAAAAAAGAUUCAAAUUCUUCUUCAAACAUCUAAGGGCAAGACCCACUCAAAUUCAUCCCCUGCCACAGAAAUUCCACUUGCGAGCUGCCCUGCAUAAAUCUGCACAUAACACACUUUUCCAGCAGGCAAUAUUUUGUACGGCUCAGUAUCUGACAGAUACAACCCUUUCAAUGAAAACAGUAUGAAGCUGUCAUGAUUACUUGAGCAGACAUCACUGACAAAAGGAAAUUUGUGCCUGAACUAUUGCUGCAGAAAUAUUUCAGGCAAUAUUUUUUUCAAAGAGAAUACAGAUCUGGAGGGACACUGCCAAGGUUUUAAAGAUCAAAACGUGUGACUUGCAGUGUUAUAAUUGGAUGCGAACAGUCCUCCAGAUCUGAAACAUCAGGUUCGGUUUGGUUUUUAAAUCAAGCACCACAUUUGUACGAUUUCUGUAGGACCUACACAUCCCAGCAUCUGCUUCCCCACUCAGUAACAGUGAGCUCUGCUGACAGAGCCAGCGACGCCGACACUGACAGACAAAUCCAUCCUGACACGACAAAGCGUUACACAACCAAACACUGCAAUUCACAGCAGAAACAAAAAAAAGAAAGGGAAAAAAAAAAAAACCACAACAGGCUGUUUUAAACUUAACCAUAUUGGAAACGCAGGGGGUUCUUUAACCUCCUGCUUGCCAAAUGAGAAGCCCACUUACCAUUGCCUUGGAGCAGCACUACGGAAACAAGUGCAAUACGUGGCCUUUGGCAGUGUUUAAAUUAAAACAA